rnacentral:misc_RNA from 1 species
UCCCUAUGACGAUACCAUGCAUCAUAUACGCAAUUGACAGCAAAGAAAUAAACAGCAACUUCAAAAAUAUUCACUAUCCCUUUUAACAAUUUUCUUCCAGUUCUUGAUUCUCCAACCACAUGCACUUCAACAAGAUCCAUAUAGUAAAAUAUCCAGAAAAGGAUAUGAACAUGUAAGACUAGAAGUGCAUGGCGGAGCUUGAUUCAUCAUCUCCUUUGCUACUGGGCUUCUUCUUCUUCUUCUUGUAUGGAAUACCUCUUGCCUU